AUAAUGCGUUUGUAAUUUCCGCAGACCGUGGGUGGCUCGCCAGAGCGCAAAUCCCACCGAGGAAAUAAGCUUCAAAUACGGAUUUGAGUACGGAUAGGACGGGAUUGGUAAAUAAGCUUAUUUUUUUAAGAGUCUGCCGGAAUGGGCGGAUUUUUUGAUGGUACA
rfam:Candidatus Falkowbacteria bacterium RIFOXYC2_FTLL_48_21 rifoxyc2_full_scaffold_1893, whole genome shotgun sequence.